UGGUGAAAAACCAUUUAAAUGUCACAUAUGUGGAAGAGGAUUCUCUAGUGCUUUAUAUUUGACACAACACUGCUUGGUUUGUACUAAUCAUUUGAAUGUCCAAAGUGUCAGAAAGGAUUUACUUUCUAUUCUAAUUUCAAACAGCACCAGUUAAUUUAUUAUGGCGAAAGACCAUUUAAAUGUGACAUUUAGAAAAGGAACUUUUAGCAUUUCACGUUUGUAACAGCACCACCCGGUUCAUUAUUUUGAAAACAUUCAUA